ACUGUUCGAAUAUCUGCCCCCCUGGAAUUCCAUGUCAUUUCUUCUCUUAGGCCCUGGAAUUCCAAAAGUUUUUAAUAAAUUACCCUUGGAAAUCUGCUAUGUUUUACAUUCCCCUGGAUUUCCUUGCUAUGUUUUGUCUUACCCCCUGGAAUUCCAAGCAUGUGUGAAAUGUGCCAUUUUUUCAUCCCCCCCUGGAAUUUCCAGCGUAAAUAAGUGACUUUUGAACACCUCCCC